GCCACUGUAGCUCAGCGGUAGAGCAGCGGUUUCGUAAACCGCAGGUCCUGGGUUCAAGUCCCAGCAGUGGCU
rnacentral:tRNA from 2 species